UGCUUUGUGUUAAGCUUUCUUCAGAAAGCUGGCAUUCGAGCUGGUUUUGCGGUCAAGUUUAAAUUCCAGUAGACACAAAUGGUUUACAUAGAAGUGUCUCUAUCCUGGGUGACAGAAACAUCAUUAUUUGAGCAGUGAUUGCAAGAAGUCUGCAGCAUUGGUACCUAUAUAGUUGGAGGAAUUGCUUAAGAUAUUCUGGAUAUUUCCUUAAUUAUUUCAGAUAAGCUCCAUUUUUUGAUGUGACCAGUACUAAGGAAAGUUAGAACUCCCAAAAGCCAGACUUGACGUACAUCUGGAAUAAAGAAGCUCUUAAAUUAU